UGGGGGAUAUUGCACAAUGGGCGAAAGCCUGAUGCAGCAACGCCGCGUGAGGGAAGACGGUUUUCGGAUUGUAAACCUCUGUCUUCGGUGAAGAAAAAAAUGACGGUAGCCGAGGAGGAAGCCACGGCUAACUACGUGCCAGCAGCCGCGGUAAUACGUAGGUGGCGAGCGUUGUCCGGAAUUACUGGGUGUAAAGGGGGCGCAGGCGGGGAAACAAGUCAGCUGUGAAAACUAUGGGCUUAACCCAGAAACUGCAUUUGAAACUGUUUUUCGUGAGUGGAGUAGAGGUAGGCGGAAUUCCGAGUGUAGCGGUGAAAUGCGUAGAUAUUCGGAGGAACACCAGUGGCGAAGGCGGCCUACUGGGCUCUAACUGACGCUGAGGCUCGAAAGUGUGGGGAGCAAACA
rnacentral:rRNA from 1 species